rnacentral:rRNA from 1 species
UACAGAGGUCUCAAGCGUUGUUCGGAUUCAUUGGGCGUAAAGGGUGCGUAGGCGGCGCGGUAAGUCGGGUGUGAAAUCUUGGAGCUUAACUCCGAAACUGCAUUCGAUACUGCCGUGCUUGAGGACUGGAGAGGAGACUGGAAUUUACGGUGUAGCGGUGAAAUGCGUAGAUAUCUGGAGGAACACCGGUGGCGAAGGCGGCGUUCUGGACUGCAACUGACACUGAGGGAACGAAAGCCAGGGGAGCAAACGGG